GAUGAACGCUGGCGGCGUGCUUAACACAUGCAAGUCGAACGGAAAGGCCCUGCUCUUGUGGGGUGCUCGAUUGGCGAACGGGUGAGUAACACGCGAGUAUCCUGCCCAUGACUUUGGGAUAACUUUAGGAAAAUGGGGCUAAUACCGGAUAGGAUCUCCUGCUGCAUGGUGGGGGUUGGUAAGAUUCGGCGGUUGGGGAUGGUCUGGCGGGUUAUCAGCUUGUUGGUGGGGUUGUGGCUUACGAAGCCUUUGAAGGGUAGCCGGCCUGGGAGGGUGACCGGCCACAAUAGUACUGCGGGACGGCCCAGACGCGUACGGGAGGCAGCAGUCGGGAAUAUUGCAGAAUAAGGGGAAGCCAGAUACAGCAGCGCCGCGUGCGGGAUGACGUGUUUCGAGUUAUAAACCACUUUGUCCGGAGACAUGGCGUGAUUGACGGUAAUGGGUAAAGAAGCACCGGCUAACUACGUG
rnacentral:rRNA from 1 species